rnacentral:tRNA from 1 species
UCCAGGGUAGCCUAGUGGACAUGGCAUCUGCCCGGUAAGUGGAACAUUGUGGAUUCAAUUCCCAUCCCUGGAG